UAUGUUCCUUCCAUUGAAACGUCGGAGUCAUUUGUUAGAGUGUGUAAAAGUAAUUUUGAAUAGAAUGUAUUAGUAAUGUUUGCAUUAACAAAGCUUGUAUUAGUAAUACUGGUAUUAUUUAUACUAACAUUAUUUCUUAUACACUCUUUGAUGUGCUGUAUUAGAACUUGUCUUUUCAAUCUUCAUGUAUUUAAACAAAAGUUUUUUAAAUAAA
rnacentral:lncRNA from 1 species